rnacentral:lncRNA from 1 species
UUUGGCAGUGAAAAAGAAGUGAAAGAAAAGGAUAGAAAUGAGAGCAUCAAAAUGGAAAAAUUAAAAUAUUUGAUAGAAUGGGGAAGACCAAAUGCUGCCCCUUUCUACAAGCCAUUGAAAGGACUGGAAGUACUGCGGAGUACACUUGAAGAGUUUUUAGAAAACUGUGAUGAAGUGCAUGCUUCAAUGUAGAUGUUGCCAGUUUGUGCAUCAAGACUGGUGCCAAGAACAUGCCCACAGUGUUUUUUGCUGACAGAUGCCCAGGUUCCAGAUGAACGCUUUCUUGUGCUGAUUAAUGACUUGUUGGCAUCAAGUGAUUAGACCAACACAUUUCUUGAAAGAUCUUCUCCAAUGACAAAUGAUCUGUGGUUUCAGUGAACUUUAGAGAGAUUACUUCUCUUUCAGGUAUUUGUAAGGGAAGCCUUUAGAGAAGCCAAAUCAACCCAGCCAGCUUGAGCAUUGAGUUUAACUUGCUUAACAAAACACAGAGGAGACAAAUUGCUAGGGCUUAUCAUGCAUGAGUGCAUUGAUUUGGUGGAGAUAAGAAUCUCUUUCACUUAAUAUGUUUUCUUUGAUUUGAUUUCACUGACAUCAAGCAAUUUCCUUGUGACUGUACAGGUGUAACAAAGUAAUGCAGUUGCACCCAUCUUCUGAAAAUAAGAGAAUCUGGAUUUCAGUUGUGGGGAUCUGAAGAAAGGAGAGGGGGGAAAAAAAGGGGUAGGGGUAGGGAAAAAAGGAAAAACAGGAUAAAUACCAUGCUAUGCAGUUGGAGAGCAUCUUAAAAAAAAAAAUUUCAACUAUUAUUUAUAUUUGUAACCAGACAAAACAUCUGAGAAAUGCAGGGAAGAAAAGAACUGCUAUUUUGUGGGAUAUAUCAUAUGUGGGUGAACUACCUAUUGGCAAUUAUUUUUGCCUUUUUAAAACAAUACUAUUUCUUUUCCCUUAAAGAAUUGUUCUCUUUAAGAGAAAACGUGUGAGGAACAAAAUGGAUGCUCUUUUCUUACUUGAUUGAUUAUCAGAACGUACCUCUAGUUAUGUACCAAAACUUCAUAGCAGUAACUGCCAUAUAUUUUUCUCUGAAUGUACUGUGUAAAGCUUCUUCUAACUGCCCUUUUAUGUUUUUGCAGGAGAUCUUCCUGAUCUGUUCAGUGGUGAAGAUGAGGAGGGCAAAGUUGCAGGAGUCAGAAAAGAAGUCCCUGGGCUUGAUGGACACCACAGAAAGCUGCUGGAGGUGGUUCUUUGGUAGAGCGCAGCAGCUGUUAAAAGUAAGGUAG